CUAUUCCUAAGCCUUGGCAAAUCUUAGCCCUCCAUCUUUCCUUCCAUCUCAACCGCACAUUCCUUCCUUUCUCUCCUCUUCUUCACGUUUCUUCUUCACGCCUCUCCUGACUCUCCUCUCUCCUCUCUCCUCUCUUUUGUUGUCUCUCUAUCCUCUUUCUCUGUUUUUUUUUGCCAUUGCGAUGGAGUUAUGGAGCGCCAUUAAAGGUGAUUCUCUACUAAUUAAAAAAUUAUAGAUUUUAGGGUUUGUUCUUAGGAAUUUCAGCUUUUCUCUCAAGAACACAAUUCAAUUUCAUCGGCACUUCGCAUCAAAUUGCCUUUACGGGAUAAUCGAGCUCUUUCGACGAGAUUUGGAACUCGAAUUUCGCAAAAAUUGAAAGGAAGGAAAUGCGAAUUAGAGGAGAGACAAAUUUAACCGAUCGAGUUUUGCUGAAAUGGGGUUUGAAGGUGAAGAUCAGCUUCACUCAAUUACUACAAGUUCUGUGAAACUCAAGCUUCCUAGAAAGUAUAUCCAUCCAGACAACAUGUUUGCUGAGGGAAAUUCAAACCUUGAGCUGAAAAGAAUUCGGGAUGAAUUCAAAAUGCACGAGUCAGAUUGUGGUUCAACAUGUGCUCAAAUGAUGUAGUGACCAGUCUACACAUUUUGGAGGACUGACUCUGGAAGGCAGUUAAAUUCAAUGAUGAUUUCUCAUAGAUAUGCUGAUUUCUCAUAGAUACUCUGGAUUGUAAGCCCAAGUAUGACUGCACCACUUUGGAAUUUUGAGAACAAGAAGGAAGAAGGAGUAUUUAGGGUUUCGUCGGGCCAAGGAUGAUGAUUGUAGACUGUCGAGGAAGCACUUGUCGACUGGUCUUAUGGAUAUUUACAGAUCUAAGUCACCUUAGCUUUUUGUUGGCAAGGAAUAUCCUUGACUCUCAUCAACCAGAUUUAAUCAGUUUACAAGGCAACACCUGAUCAGUCGUUUGUCUAGGAAAAAAUGUUUGCUUCGCGAUGUUUAUGGAUGAAAAGACUUUAAACUAUUUCUCCAGAAGGCCAUAUACCGGACAGAAUGGGAUUCAUUUGUCAGUGGAAGGUCGUCCUGGUGAAAAAUCUUCCUUAUAUGGACAUGAGGAGAGGGAAAAUUCCAAAGCUGUUGUGUCAUAGACUUUUCCCUUCAGCAAGGUAUUCAAUUUGGUUGGAUAGCAAGUUGGACUCCAACGUGAUCCUCUGUUGUUAUUGGAGCACUUCUUAUGGAGAAAGUCAUUGUGUCUGGGAGGAGAUGGAUCGGAAUAAGAAGCUUAACAAAUACAACCAUACCGUUUUUCUUCAAGGCAAUGCAUCGCAGUGAGAGACCAUGUCAUUUUUCUUCUCUUAUUUAGCUAGCUUAUUCUGACAGCUUUACGCUAUCUUACAUCUGCUAAAUGAUCUUGUAGUUCAAUUGUAUGCUAGAACCGGUGAUCAGAAUAGUUGACUGCCACAAACGUUUACAGUAUAUGAAUUUGAUGCCAAUGUGAAGGGUGCCAUUGUGCUUAAGGGUAGGAAUGGUCAUUGUUGUCAGAUAUUCUACUUUUCAACUGUUUGCCCUCAUGAGAUAUACGAAUCUCACUUUUUAUAUAGCCUUAUACUGGCUUUUAGCAAGA